GGGGAUUUAGCUCAGCAGUAGAGCGCUUGCCUAGCAAGUGCAAGGCCCUGGGUUCAGUCCCCA
rnacentral:tRNA from 1 species